AUUUCGUUCGACUGCACCAACACACCCGUCACUUUAAAAAGAUGGAAAACUAUAAUGGCGGCUGACGCGGCGUGUGGAUUUUUCAGAAUCAAAACCAUUUAACUCGCUGCAGUUGAAAAACACGCAUUCCGCUCCAGCAAAGAAAAAAAAGUGUUUACAAGUGAAUGUGGUCUUGGUGCACGGGAAAUAAAAUCUACACCGAAUCUGCGUUGCAAUAAGUUUUGCAUCCGUGUUCUGGUGUACACCGAGGAAAAGGUUCGCGAUCGAGUGAUUUGUUCCGGUGUACCAUUAAAAAAAAAGUAAUGCUCUCGGGCGCCAUUGUGAAAGAAUAAAACGAGCACGUCCAGCGAGAAAAGCAAAAGAAAGUGGCAGUAAGUGUUGUAGGAAGCGUGUAAGAAAGUGUGUGCCUCAAAGUGGAAGGCUGAGCAAAAAGGGCAGAGGGCCAUCUCAAAACGAAUGCGUUUCAGGUGCAGUGUGGGUCAGUUUGGGAAGUGAGUGUUGUUGUUUUGGUUGGCUGAUAUGUGCAUGUGGCGGCGCGGCAUCACGUGUCUGCCGGGGGCAUGAUAGUUCCCCCUCAGCUCCUGCAUCAAGCGUCAACACUCGGCACUAGUCUCGGGGUAGUCGGCGAACGGGGGACGUCGGUUGGUGUUGCAAGAGCGCACGGUGGCCAUACGGUGCUGGUCACGCACGGCAGCUUCGGCGGACGUCGCUCCGGUGGCACCAUUGAACGCUUCGAGCGCCCCGAAACCAAAGCCAACGGCACGCCGUUUGGACAGGUGGCGGCGGCAGCGGCACGCGGGGAGUCUGCUGGUGGUGUCGGUGGUGGCCUCGGCAGCUCGGUGGCGGCAGCACACGGAGACACGGGCAG